UACGGAGGGGGCUAGCGUUGUUCGGAAUUACUGGGCGUAAAGCGCACGUAGGCGGCUUUGCAAGUUAGAGGUGAAAGCCUGGGGCUCAACUCCAGAAUUGCCUUUAAGACUGCAUCGCUUGAAUCCGGGAGAGGUGAGUGGAAUUCCGAGUGUAGAGGUGAAAUUCGUAGAUAUAUGGAGGAACACCGGUGGCGAAAGCGGCUCUCUGGUCUGUAACUGACGCUGAGGCUCGAAAGCGUGGGGAGCAAACAGGAUUAGAUACCCUGGUAGUCCACGCCGUAAACGAUGAGUGCUAGGUGUUAGGCCCUUUCCGGGGCUUAGUGCCGCAGCUAACGCAUUAAGCACUCCGCCUGGGGAGUACGACCGCAAGGUUGAAACUCAAAGGAAU
rnacentral:rRNA from 1 species